rnacentral:rRNA from 1 species
UACGGAGGUGGCAAGCGUUGUUCGGAAUUACUGGGCGUAAAGGGCGCGUAGGCGGCUUGGCAAGUCAGAUGUGAAAGCCCCGGGCUUAACUUGGGAAUUGCAUCUGAAACUGCUUUGCUUGAGUCCUGGAGGGGGUAGUGGAAUUCCCAGUGUAGCGGUGAAAUGCGUAGAUAUUGGGAGGAACACCGGCGGCGAAGGCGGCUACCUGGACAGUGACUGACGCUGAGGCGCGAAAGCUAGGGGAGCAAACGGGAUUAGAUACCCCGGUAGUCCUAGCCGUAAACGAUGGGCACUUGGUGUUGGGGGUAUUGAGUCCCCCAGUGUCGUAGUUAACAUGGUAAGUGCCCCGCCUGGGGAGUACGGUCGCAAGACUGAAACUCAAAGGAAUUGACGGGGGCCCGCACAAGCGGUGGAGCAUGUGGUUCAAUUCGACGCAACGCGAAGAACCUUACCGGGGCUUGAACGGUAGUCGCUACCCCUGGAAACGGGGGGUUCUCGUAAGGGACGGCUACCGAGGUGCUGCAUGGCUGUCGUCAGCUCGUGUCGUGAGAUGUUGGGUUAAGUCCCGCAACGAGCGCAACCCUUGCCCUUAGUUGCCACCAGGUAAUGCUGAGCACCCUAAGGGAACUGUCGGCGAAAAGCCGGAGGAAGGUGGGGAUGACGUCAAGUCCUCAUGGCCCUUACGUCCCGGGCUACACACGUGCUACAAUGGCCGGUACAAAGGGUUGCCAACCCGCGAGGGGGAGCUAAUCCCAAAAAGCCGGUCCCAGUCCGGAUUGCAGUCUGCAACUCGACUGCAUGAAGUCGGAAUCGCUAGUAAUCGCAGAUCAGAACGCUGCGGUGAAUACGUUCCCGGGCCU